rnacentral:rRNA from 1 species
AGACUCCUACAGGGAGGCAGCAGUGGGGAAUCUUGCACAGAUGGGGGCAACCCUGAUGCAGCGAACGCCGCGUGAGCGAUGAAGCCCUUCGUGGGGUGUAGAGCUCUUUCGGCAGGGAACGAUAAUGACGGUACCUGCAGAAGGUCAGCUGCGGCUAACUACGUGCCAGCAGCACGCGGUAAUACGUAGGCAGCGAGUGCGUUGUUCGGAGUUACUGGGCGUAAAGGGAUGCGUAGGCGGCCGAUUAAGGUUUUGUCGUGAAAUCUCCCGGCUCAACUGGGAGAGGUGCGGCGAAUACUGAAGUCGGCUAGAGUGUGGGAGAGGAGAGUGGAAUUCCAUGGUGUAGCGGUGAAAGUUGCGUAGAUAUCAGGAGGAACACCGGCGGUGUAGAACGGCUCUCUGGACCGAUUAACUG